GCAGCUGUCCAAACCACCCAAGGAGAAGCAGGAGCCAGGGACAGCCAACUCCAGCUAGCUGGGCCACCACGGCCCUCCCCUCCCCCACGCGGGCCCGGCAGGGGAAGAGUUAAUCGCCAUCAGCUUUGGCUGAUGGUUCAGGCUCCAAAGUUCAGUCCCAGUCUGAGCCACCCCGGAGGAAUUGUAAAUCUCAGGGCAGUAUUUAACAAAACAAAAGCAACCUAGAAUUACAUGCAGGUUUGGUUUUCUACAGUACAUAUUUACUUAAUCCCCUAGGGCCGGCUUGAGACAGUCUGGCCUGCCAGCCUCCAAUCUCUCUCCUUUGCUCUAGUCACCGGGUGAGUCAGCCUAGCUUGGGUCAGAGUUGGGUGACAGCCGGCUCACCCUCCCCACUCUCGGGCACCAGGUCUGGGAAAACCAGAGGAAGAGAUGGUGUAACCACCAAAAAGCUAAAGACAGCCCUGGGGAGGGGGAGGGCCCUCCCCACAGUGCCACCUCCCCAUUUACUGGGGAGGGAUCCCCUCUGGGGCUGCAUCUGCGGGGGGGGGGAGGGGGCACGGUUGAAGGUGAGAACAAGGGCGCUUUAUCAGCUGCCAUUACCCUUGUCCCCCUCUUUCUAGAUUUCCAAAUACCUGGGCGUGGGAGUGCAUGUCAGGCCUGGCUAGACAUCCAAGACCGCCCCCCACCCCCCUUUCAAACCCAAACCAAGUAUCCCCUCUCUUCGUGCCUCCAGAGCUGCAGCCGCCCAGGUUGGGGCUGGGAAGCGGGUUGCCAAGGAAAAUACGAAGCCAGCUAGCAGGCGGCUCCCAGCUCUACCCAGGAGCGCACACACCCUGCACUCACCAGGGUGGCGGCAUCGAGGGGAAGGCGAGGGGGGAAAACACAACACCUUCCUUCGGGGAGGGAGGAAUGUGGGAAAUGGGUGGGUCUCCUAAGUUUCGGGGUGGCGGCGAACGGCCAACCGGCCGCCGAUCCCAAAGGAGCGGACCAGCUCCGGACCUGCCAGAAAAGACAGUCUGGUGCCCGGGAAAAUUUACAAGGUGAAACUGGCUAGCUCAGCACUCGCGGGUGGCGCCGAGAAGUAGGGUGGCCGGCGACUCCUCUGGGCGCGGGUUGCGGCUGCGGCAGCAGGUGGGCGUCCCCCGCACCUUCGGCCCCCACCCCCUGGAGUCGCCGUGCCCCGGUACCUUUCUGGCGCCGCGUUCUGCGAACUCGCGAGCGAGCUGGCGUCCGAUGCCUCUCCCGCCGCCGGUGAUGAGGACGUUCUCCCGCGACAGGUCCCGAAGCUUGGCGGGCAGCACCAGUCCGACGGCUGCUUUGGCCACCAGAUAGAUCAUCUGCAGAGGGAACACCACCAACGCGCCCAGCCAUUUCCACACCAUCCUCCGCGCCGCGGAGACAGGCAGGGGGGGCGAAACUCCCCGGACCGAGCAAAACAGGAAUUAAAAAAAGAAAACACCCCAAACAAUAAUAAAUAAACCGAAUGAAAGGGGGAGAGAGGCGUCCCACCUGGCCACUGUUGAAAUCACCUCUUCCCAAAAGCAAAGCACCGGGUGAGAAAAAAAAAAAAGAAAAAAAAAAAAAAGAAAAAAGAAAAAGAGAGAGAGAGAGGAAAAAAAAAAAAAAGAUAAAUCCUCCUCGGGAGGAGAAAAACCGUCUGAGAAGGUUGGGACGGUAAGAGGGCUGGAGGGGAAGCCGGAGGUGGAAAGUUCUAACAAGAAGUUUCUUGCCCCAGCAGCCGUUUAGGCUGGGGAAUUCUCAGGUAAUGUUUACAGGCUGACAGAGGAGUUUAGGCAAGGGGAAAAAAAAAAAGGCACCAACCACACGCACGCACCCUGCUACAGUCCCGCGGUUUCAAAGUGCAAGAUUUAAAAAAAAAAAAAAAAAAAAAAAAAAAAAAAGGCCGUUUCCAAAUUGUAGCGCCCCCCCCACCCCUUCUCCAGGAAAAAAAAAAAAAAAGUGGUGGGGGGGGGAGUGCUUGCAGCUCCCAAUUUCAGCCCGCGAAAGUCUCCCGACUCAUUGCUAUUCUUGGGCUCAGGAAAUUGCUUAAACGCGAUCUGAUUGCCAGCAACGUGCAGGAGAAGUGGGGGGUCCCGGUGUCAGUUUCUUUACGUGCAUGGCUCGCCCUGGCGCGCGCUCGCUCUCUCCGGCUCUCUCCCUCCCUCUCCCAGCAGAGGCCGGGAGUUGCCGCUCGAUCCGGCUCCCUUUCUCUCCCCUGUUAGCAUUUAUUGCCUUCUUUUUGUCCUUUCCAACUUGGAGAGGGCCCGGGUGCGGAGCGCGUGUGGAUCGGACGCCCUCGUCAGCGCCGCCUUAUUCAUUCGCUCCCGGGGCAGCAGCGGCGCGGAGCGAGAGGGCUGCCCUUUUUUCCCCCCCAUUUUUUAAUACCCCAUUAAGUCUGAUUGACAGUUAAAGUUGUGCGGAGGCUCCACUACCGUUCCUCUGAGUGGCUGCCGCGGGCUCCCCUCCCCCCGCGCAGUGCGGGGCGCGCGCGCGGGCGCGCACCCGGGCUCGCUCCGACUCGCGCUCUCCCGGGCAGGCUCCCCUCUCUGCAAGCCGGGACUUGCCGGCGGUGUCCCUGAGGGCUCGCGGCAGUAACUCGAACACGCUGGAACCGACUCCUGCGAACCGGCUCCCUCCUCGAGACAUUCCUCCCGGUCGGGGACGCGGGCUCCCCGAGCUGGGGCGCCCGCGGGCCAGGUGCCGGGUCCUGCGCGCGGGGCAGGCCCGGGGGAGCUCGCGCACGCUUUGAUCCAACCAGGUCGACCAGGGGUUAUUUCGGGCUCUUUGGUCACCCCCUGCCUCCAGGGAGAAUACCUCCUCUGCCGGAGGGUGGGAGCCUGCUAUUUAGAGAUGUCUGCUGCGGGAAGUCUGGGAGGUGAGUCACGAAAAGGCAGCCCCAGUUAAAAGUGCUGAUGGGAUUUGCCUCCCACUGCCCCUGACCGUCCCAGGCCAGCAGGGGAGGGGAUGAGCCGGGCAACUACCCUGUAAUCUGGGACAGUGGCUCCCCAGCGCCAGGCUUGUUCAGGCGAGGAAGCUGGGCCUCACCCCCAGACGUUCUGAUUCAGCAGGGCUGGGUGCACUGGAAUCCCUGUGUUCCACCUGGUAAUUCUGCUGCGAAUCCGGUGAGAGAACUGCUUUCAGAAAAGCUGACUCCGGGAGGUGGCGGCUGGGGAUUCCACAAAGACCCUCUAGUCCUGGGGAGAGGUUCUGCAGGUGAGGGUCCUCCUUCCCGGGGAGUUGGGAAACUCAUCUGGACAGCCACUGGAAGAACAGGAAAGGCUUGGAUGAGUGGGGUUGGAGGAGAAAUUCUCCUACACUGAGGGUUUAUAUUCUGACAUUUAAUCCUCCCAUUGACCUUGCAACGGGGGUAUUAGUAGCUCCGUUUUCCUGGUUACCCGGCCAGAAACUGCAGGAGGGAGGGAUUCCAACAUGGACCUGAUUUCUCCUCCCACCCCACCCGACUCGGGCACAAGCGGGCGACAGAGGUGGAGGAUGACGUUCCCUCCUGUCUCCAUUCGACCCUCCACAAGUGUGACAGAAGGGGCGGGCCGUCGCCCUCAUUCCCACUCCCAGACUGGGGCUAAAGAUAGGACUCUGUCGAAGUGCCUGACACCUCCCACCUUGGAGGUCUGUAAAAAUGGAAAAGAAAUCCCAACCUGAGAAGAGACCGGCCCUUUCCAGCCGCCGCCACGCCUGGUGUCCGCGGGCCUGUUAAUCAAUCAGCCCCUGGGAAAGUCUGGAGCUGGAACCCCACCCCCCUCCCCGGACUCCGCCUGUUAUCAUCCCUUAUCCUCGGAACCGCCUAGUGGCUUGCCUGCGACACUGCACCUCCAAGCUGCCCCAGCCAAGGCCUCCCAUGUUUCUGCUCACUCCCCAGCUAUCCUUUUUCUUCCAGACCUUUCUCCUACGUAGUGGCAACACCCCGAGCCUAAAAGGGCCUGCGAAGAUCAUAGCCCCACCUCCCCACAUGCCUGCUGCUUUAUGGAGGAGGAAACUGAGGCACAGAGAUGUUAAGCAAUUCAUAAACACCGUGGCAUGUUCACCUAUAUCCCCUGGUCCCCCACAUGUGACCUGUCCCCUUCCGACGCCAGGCCAGCUGGGGGACCACUGGGUUCUGCCUACAUUUCCCCUGGGUGUGUCCUUGGGAUGGAAGGCAGGCAGUGGGCAGACAGGAGGUUGAGGACUCACGUUGACCUUCUGGGUAUCAGGUCCCUCAACACAUACUCUCAUUUAAAAAAGGAGCCGGUCCGCAGAGGUGGGUGUCCUCACACCCAUUUGACGCGGGAGGAAACAGGCACAGCAAAUCCAAGUGACUCACGAAGGCCACAUGGGAUGGUGCCCUUUUCUUUCCCAGCCGUCAGCUUUGGGGUGAAAUCAGAAUGAAAAGGAACAAGUCAGGCGAUCCUAAAAGGUGCUGGGGGUUGGCUUAUGGCCGGGAAGCAGACAGCUUUUUUCUGCUUGUUCCACCUUCAGGAUGUGGAUUUUGUGGGCCUGGCAUCCCCGUGGGCCUCAGGUUUCUUCUGUCAUCAGCUCCCCCAUAGAGGUGUUGUCACCUCCUCUGUAGAGCAUCCCCCCCGGAUCCUGAGAAGGAUGAGGUUGAAGGGGCACCGGGCUGGGGGGUGUCCAGUCCAGCAGGUGGGCCCAGAGGGUCCCUGUGGCUUGGCUUUGGUGAGAAAUGCAUGGGCAGGACCCCUUCCUGUCGCCCCCAUCCCUUGUCCUUUGCUCUUGGUACCCCUCCUCCCUUAGUUUCCUUGGGGGCAGGGGGUGAGGAAUUUAACUUCAGGGCGAAGUUUGAAAUUUCACAUCCCAGCCCAGGGAGAGGGCCCCACAGUGCCUCCCCUCCACCACCCACCAAAAAAAAAAAAAAAAAGAAAAGAAAAACGUGAAAGGAGCCUUUGUGGGUUGGAUGGAGUGGGGGGUGAGCUGUAGCCUGGAGAACUAACUUUUUCCAUGACUCAGCUCCCCUGGCACAGGGCAGGCACAGGAGGUACAGAGACCCAGCAGGGCAGUUUGGGACCUGCCUCCUAGUCCAGAGCCAGCCCGUGUCAGGGUUAGAGGUGGGCCCCCAGGAGAGCCUCCCCUGAGAUCAGCAGGGGAACUUGCUGGCCCUGGAUAGGCCACGAGGCUGUAACCAUCUCCCCCCGCCUCACUGCCCACUGAGUCCCCUAUUUUUUACUUAUUGGCAUCCCCAGUGCCAAGCACAUGAAUGUUCAUGGCACUUUCCUUUGCACCACCUCAACUGAGAAACUGGAAAAAUAAACGGGCAUCAAGCCUUGCCUUUUAUUUGCGAGACUCAGAGAAGUUAAGAAAGUCACCCAAGAUCACACAGCUAGGAGAUGGAGAUGGGACUUGAACCCUGGUCAAAUGCUCUAAGUUCUGUCUACUUUAUCCAGGGAUGUCUCUCAGAACGUGUAGGACUCCCUGGGGUGCUGGUCAAAAUACAGAUUCCUGGGCUUCCAGCCUAGACUAGUAGGGUCAGGGCCCACGAAUGUGCAUACAGGCCAGGCAGGAGAUUGUUGGGCACCCAA